rfam:Flavobacterium sp. KMS contig024, whole genome shotgun sequence.
GCCCUUGUAUUAUGUGUGCGGUAUCGGAAACGACCGUAAACGCUGUCGUAGGCGUUAGAAACACUAAAAUGCAAGGGUUU